UUAACUAUAACCGCCUCAAAAUUGUUAAGUUUACAUUGAGCAAAAAAGGUUCAACCAGCUGGUGAGAUGAAUCCGAAUCUGAAUUCUAGGUGAGAGUCAGCGAGAACGGACAGUCUGUGCCGCAGCAGCUGAGAGGUGACAGACACAGACGUCAACAUUGAGCUGAGUCGAGCUUGCAAUCGUUUGGUCCCUAUGGGAAAGUGUACCCUCUUCCUCCUCGUCCCUUCAUUGAUGUGUAUAAACUGACCUUUUCCUGCAGAAAAUGGUGGAAGUGCGAGCUCAAGUGUUAGGUGGGCCAGUGCACCUUGCAGGUGACACAGUACAGGUCUGCAUCACCAUCACAGUUCCCUCAUUAGAUCCAGCUCUUCGAGCUCAGUCUAGGUAAGCUGCUC